AGUCCUGUAGCUCAACGGUGGAGCAGUUGUCUUACAAACAACGGGUUACGGGUUCAAAUCCUGUCAGGACUACCA
rnacentral:tRNA from 2 species